UACCACUAUAUAGGGAAUAGGGCUCUGGUCUAAAGUAGUACCACUAUAUAGGGAAUAGGGCUCUGGUCUAAAGUAGUGGACUAUAUAGGGAAUAGGGCUCUGGUCUAAAGUAGUGGACUAUAUAGGGAAUAGGACUCUGGUCUAAAGUAGUGCACUAUAUAGGGAAUAGGGCUCUGGUCUAAAGUAGUGGACUAUAUAGGGAAUAGGGCUCUGGUCUAAAGUAGUGGACUAUAUAGGGAAUAGGGCUCUGGUCUAAAGUAGUACACUAUAUAGGGAAUAGGGCUCUGUUCAACAGUAGUGCACUAUAUAGGGAAUAGGGCUCUGGUCUAUAGUAGUGCACUAUAUAGGGAAUAGGGCUCUGGUCAAAAGUAGUGCACUAUAUAGGGAAUAGGGCUCUGGUCAAAAGUAGUGCACUAUAUAGGGAAUAGGGCUCUGGUCUAAAGUAGUGCACUAUAUAGGGAAUAGGGCUCUGGUCUAAAGUAGUGCACUAUAUAGGGAAUAGGGCUCUGGUCUAAAGUAGUGCACUAUAUAGGGAAUAGGGCUCUGGUCUAAAGUAGUGCACUAUAUAGGGAAUAGGACUCUGGUCUAUAGUAGUACCACUAUAUAGGGAAUAGGGCUCUGGUCUAUAGUAGUGGACUAUAUAGGGAAUAGGGCUCUGGUCUAAAGUAGUACCACUAUAUAGGGAAUAGGGCUCUGGUCUAUAGUAUAGCACUAUAUAGGGAAUAGGGCUCUGGUCUAAAGUAGUGCACUAUAUAGGGAAUAGGGCUCUGGUCUAAAGUAGUGCACUAUAUAGGGAAUAGGGCUCUGGUCUAAAGUAGUGCACUAUAUAGGGAAUAGGGCUCUGGUCUAAAGUAGUGCACUAUAUAGGGAAUAGGGCUCUGGUCUAAAGUAGUGCACUAUAUAUAUUCCCAGCUAGAUGUACCCUUACCAGACCAGACAGUACUCCCAAGUUCCCUUUGGAGAUCUAGGCUAUAAUUUCAUAGAUCUAUAUUUCCUAGGUAUCGGAUAGAGUCUAGAAUGAGAGUCAACAUGGGGCCAGCAUCCCUGUGGAACGCUUUAGACACCUUGUAGAGUCAACAUGGGG
ensembl:lncRNA